rnacentral:rRNA from 1 species
ACUCCUACGGGAGGCAGCAGUGGGGAAUAUUGGACAAUGGGCGCAAGCCUGAUCCAGCCAUACCGCGUGGGUGAAGAAGGCCUUCGGGUUGUAAAGCCCUUUUGUUGGGAAAGAAAUCCAGCUGGUUAAUACCCGGUUGGGAUGACGGUACCCAAAGAAUAAGCACCGGCUAACUUCGUGCCAGCAGCCGCGGUAAUACGAAGGGUGCAAGCGUUACUCGGAAUUACUGGGCGUAAAGCGUGCGUAGGUGGUCGUUUAAGUCUGUUGUGAAAGCCCUGGGCUCAACCUGGGAACUGCAGUGGAAACUGGACGACUAGAGUGUGGUAGAGGGUAGCGGAAUUCCUGGUGUAGCAGUGAAAUGCGUAGAGAUCAGGAGGAACAUCCAUGGCGAAGGCAGCUACCUGGACCAACACUGACACUGAGGCASGAAAGCGUGGGGAGCAAACAGGAUUAGAUACCCUGGUAGUCCACGCCCUAAACGAUGCGAACUGGAUGUUGGGUGCAAUUUGGCACGCAGUAUCGAAGCUAACGCGUUAAGUUCGCCGCCUGGGGAGUACGGUCGCAAGACUGAAACUCAAAGGAAUUGACGG